UGCCUAAUACAUGCAAGUCGAGCGGACAUUUGAGAGCUUGCUCUCAAAUGUUAGCGGCGGACGGGUGAGUAACACGUGGGUAACCUGCCUGUAAGAUUGGGAUAACUCCGGGAAACCGGAGCUAAUACCGAAUAACAUUUUGAACCGCAUGGUUUAAAAUUGAAAGAUGGUUUCGGCUAUCACUUACAGAUGGACCCGCGGCGCAUUAGCUAGUUGGUGAGGUAAUGGCUCACCAAGGCGACGAUGCGUAGCCGACCUGAGAGGGUGAUCGGCCACACUGGGACUGAGACACGGCCCAGACUCCUACGGGAGGCAGCAGUAGGGAAUCUUCCGCAAUGGACGAAAGUCUGACGGAGCAACGCCGCGUGAACGAUGAAGGCCUUCGGGUCGUAAAGUUCUGUUGUUAGGGAAGAACAAGUACCAGAGUAACUGCUGGUACCUUGACGGUACCUAACCAGAAAGCCACGGCUAACUACGUGCCAGCAGCCGCGGUAAUACGUAGGUGGCAAGCGUUGUCCGGAAUUAUUGGGCGUAAAGCGCGCGCAGGCGGUUUUUUAAGUCUGAUGUGAAAGCCCACGGCUCAACCGUGGAGGGUCAUUGGAAACUGGAGAACUUGAGUGCAAAAGAGGAGAGCGGAAUUCCACGUGUAGCGGUGAAAUGCGUAGAGAUGUGGAGGAACACC
rnacentral:rRNA from 2 species